GCGGGAUGUUCCUGGUGGCGCAGGCGAUCGCGCGGCGGAUGGUCACGCGCGGGAGCGGUGUGAUCGUGAACAUGGCGUCCACGAACGCGCUCGGCGGGGAGGAGCUGUUCGCGCACUACAACGCGUCGAAGGGCGGCGUCCUCCAGCUCACCCGGACGAUGGCGGUCGAGCUCGGCCGGCACGGCAUCCGCGUGAACUGCGUGUGUCCCGGGUUCAUCCGCACGCCGCUGAACGACGCCAUCAGCGACGAGGCGUUCGUCGCGAGCUACGAGCGGGACAAGAUCCCGUUGGGCCGCGCCGGCACACCGGAGGAGGUCGCCGCGGCGUACGCGUUCCUGGCGUCGGACGACGCGUCGUUCAUCCACGGCGAGGCGCUCGUGAUCGACGGAGGUCAGACCGCGAUCAUGUGACGUGCUUCCGCGUUGUCACCUACACGGGUGGUACGGCGUCGCGAACAGCGAGUAGUUGCGGCUCUUCUUGAUCGAGUUGAACCCGAGCGCCUCCGCGUCCGGACAGAACUCGUCGCGCGUGAGGCGGUACUCCACCUCGAAUACCGCCUUGCCCGCCUCGACGAACGCGACCUCACCGGGCGAGGGAUCCCCUGAGCAGAAGUGGUACUGGAAGCACUCCUCGACGAUCGCGAAGUCGAAGUACGGCAGCAGGUCCUUCACCUGUGACGGGUCGUUCUUCAUCGCGACCGACAUCCCGUAGUGAUGGGCCAUGUUCGCCAGGCGCGUGUUGAACAUCAGUUGCGCGCGGUAGCUGAUGUGGAACCCGGAGUGCGAGUCUUCGAACGUAUCGAUGAUGUCCCACUCCACGCUGUCGAACCCGGCCGCCGCGCACUUCUUCACGCGAUCGCGGUUCACCUUGAGGAUGAACGCGCGCUGUCCCUGGUCGUUGUUGAUGUUCAGGAAGAACUCGUCCGGAAGACCUGGCUGAACGGGUUGCCGAUCAGGCAGCCGUCGCACGCUUCGUCGAAGUCGACGAACCGUUGGUAGUCGGGGCGGUACGUCUCGGCGUCGCCGGCGUCCAGGUAACAGAUCGCGUGGCCGCCCGCCGCGUGGAUGGCGUCGACCGCGGCCGUGUUCACCA
rnacentral:misc_RNA from 1 species